AACGCAGCGAAGGGCGAUAAGUAAUGCGAAUUGCAGAAUUCAGUGAGUCAUCGAAUCUUUGAACGCACAUUUGCGCCCUGUGGUAUUCCGCAGGGCAUGCCUGUUCGAGCGUCAUUUCAACCCUCAAGCACUGCUUGGUGUUGGGCCCUGCCCGUCGCGGCCGGCCCUAAAGACAGUCGGCGGACGCCGUCUGGCUCUAAGCGUAGUACAACUCUCGCUCUGGACGUCCUGCGGUAGCCUUGCCACGAACCCCUAAUCCUUAUUGGUUGACCUCGGAUCAGGUAGGGAUACCCGCUGAACUUAA
rnacentral:rRNA from 1 species